AGUGAACGCUGGCGGUAGGCCUAACACAUGCAAGUCGAACGGCAGCACAGAGGAGCUUGCUCCUUGGGUGGCGAGUGGCGGACGGGUGAGGAAUACAUCGGAAUCUACUCUGUCGUGGGGGAUAACGUAGGGAAACUUACGCUAAUACCGCAUACGACCUACGGGUGAAAGCAGGGGAUCUUCGGACCUUGCGCGAUUGAAUGAGCCGAUGUCGGAUUAGCUAGUUGGCGGGGUAAAGGCCCACCAAGGCGACGAUCCGUAGCUGGUCUGAGAGGAUGAUCAGCCACACUGGAACUGGGACACGGUCCAGACUCCUACGGGAGGCAGCAGUGGGGAAUAUUGGACAAUGGGCGCAAGCCUGAUUCAGCCAUACCGCGUGGGUGAAGAAGGCCUUCGGGUUGUAAAGCCCUUUUGUUGGGAAAGAGAUCCAGCUGGUUAAUACCCGGUUGGGAUGACGGUACCCAAAGAAUAAGCACCGGCUAACUUCGUGCCAGCCGCCGCAGUAA
rnacentral:rRNA from 1 species